rnacentral:lncRNA from 1 species
AGUUACAAAUAUGGCGUUUUGGACGGGCUCGAUAGUUUGCUUGGCCUCUACUCAAGGAAUGCUGAUGGUAUAGCAAGAAGGUAUUCUGAGCAUUAUAUCAAUGGGGAAGUUCUAGAUCUUUUGCAAAGCAGGAGGUAAGCUCACAAACCACAGGUAAUGACACACUCUGGAAUCAAAAAUGUCCAUAAUGAAGAGGAACAUUGGCCUAUUACAGAAAUCUGAGUGAGAAGCAAAUGAAGGUCAUCUUAGCAAUUCAGUGAUUGCCCACUUCCAACUUCCUGUUCCCAAAGAGGCUGAUAGACUCUGGAAUGGGUCAGGACACUUGGGAUGCAGUGCCCAACUCCUCAGUAGUACAAGUUUGUCCAACACUCCAAAUGCCUAGAUAGGCUUUUGUGUGUGUGUGUGUGUGUGUGUGUGUGUGUGUGUGGUCUGUCCAUUGUAUUUAACAAACAAGGAGGUAGUGUUGGUUUCUGUACUUUUUUUUUUUUUUUUUGAGAUAGAGUCUUGCUGUCACCCAGGCUGGAGUGCAGUCACAGCUCACUGCAGCCUUGACUUGCUGGCUUGAGCCAUCCUCCCACCUCAGUCUCACAAGUAGCUGGAACUACAGGCAUGUGCCACCAUGCCCAGCUAAUUUUUGAAUUUUCUGUAGAGAUGAGGGUUUCAUUAUGUUGUCCAGGGUGGUCUCAGACUCCUGGACUCAAGUGAUCCUCUUGGCCUCUCAAAGUGUUAGGAUUACAGACGUGAGCCUCUGCACCGCGCCAUGUUUUGUUUUUUGUUUUUUGUUUUUUAACUGUACAUAUUUCGCAUCAGUGGGCUGCAAAGUCAGGAGCUAGAGAUCAGCAAGCAAGAUCAAGAUCUUUGACACUUUUCACAACAACAUAAACAAUAGGUGGAGUAAUUUAUGAUAAUUCAACUCUGGGAAACCAGGGUGAAUCACUGGUGUAUGCUAGGUGACUAAAACAGUGCCUGGAGUGGAAUAGGCCCUUUAUAAAUAUUUUGAGUGAAUGAAUGAAAAGGCAAAGCCUUAGAACAUACUAAAUGUCUAUCAAAAGAGGUCUGCUUAAAUAAACCUGCCUGCAGAACUGCUGAAAAGCACCAGCUAGCUAUACUGAUCGAGAAUGCUUUCCAGGAUAGGAAUGGAAAGUUCUGUGUGUGUUGGAGUCUUAACAACACUAGAAAUAGAACCAGGGUGCAAAGAGCUUUCUGAGAGGCCUGCUAAGUAGGUGAAAAGCUCCUGUGUCACCAUGGAAACAACUCUCCCCAAAAGGAAUGACUACAAGGACAGGUGCUGGAUAAUGCAGCAUAGUGAACAUAGUGGUGAACAAGGAUGCAGAAUGAGUGACAGGGCAUUCAGGGAGAAGAGAUGCUAACGUGGUGCCAUCUAGAAGGAAUGAGCAUGUAUUAAUUCAUUUAGCAAACACUAAAUGCCUCGUGUGUGCCAGAAACUAUUCAAGGCAUUGAAGACAUAGUAGUGAAUAAAACAGGCAAAAGUUCUACUCUCAUGGAACUGUCAUUCUAGUGGGUAGAUACAGAAAAUAAACAAAUAGUGUGUCAUAUGGUGGUAAGUGCCACAGAAAAAUAAAAAGGAGGAUGGAGAGUACUAGGGUGGAUUUGCUUUAGGGGGAAAGGGUAGUUAUUUUAAAUAGGGAAGUGAGGGAAGGCCUUGAGGAAAAAGUGACACUUGAAUAGAGAACUUCAGGAGAUGAGUGAGCAAUUCAUGUGGAUGUCUGGGAUUCCAGGCAGAGGGAACAGCAAGUUCUCUCUCAGCAUGCGUGUGGAAGAGCAGGAAGACCAAUGAGGCUGAAGUGGGGUGAUUGAGGGAGAGAUAGUAUAAGAUGAAGGAGCCAGGGCAUGUGGAACCUUGGAAGCCACUGGAAGGACUUGCUUUCACUCUCAAGAUAGGAGCCAGUGGAUGCUUUAAAUGGAGCAGUGACAUGAUCUGACAUGUUUUUAAAGAUGGUACAGGCUGUUGGGUUAAGAAUGCCCUCCUCAUCAUAGACAGUAGGAGGCAAGGUUGCAGCUGGAGACAAGUUGGAUGGGUGUUACAUCUUGGCUUUUUUUUUUUUUAAAGGAUUACAUGAGUUAACAUUCAUUAAAGGCAGUAGUAAUAUGUUAAAAGGACAAUGUUGGGCCUGAAAACCUGUGUUUUGUAUGUCUCCAUACCAGCAGGGACACUGUCUCAGAGGUCACUGUGGUGCUAAUAAAUAUUCAGAACCCAAGUUGUACCAAAUAUUUACCAUGGGAAGCAGUACUAGGGCUUAAAUUUCUCUUGGCAUAGAUCCUGGAUCAAAAAUGUUUCUAUUAUUAAGAAUUUCCACAUAUACAAAAAUAGAAUAGUAUGUAUAAUAAACUCCCAUGUACACAUUACACUUUCUCAAAAAUUAUCCACACAGGGCCAAUCUUAUUUCAUUUCUACUCAUUUACUACUCUGUCUUCUGUUUUAUUUUAAAAGCCAAUUCAAGAAAUUUUAGCCAUAAAUACCUCAAUAUGUAUCUAAACGAUGAUUUCUUUAAAAUAAAUAUAACCCCAAUAGUAUUAUCACACCUGAAAAUUAACAAAAAUUCCCUAAUAUCUUCAAGUAUUUAUUCCAGUUUUGGAGGGGUUCUUGCGCCUUUGUCCAUAUUUUCUGAGAGCCUGUAGUUGAUCAAAAGCCUUCCAAGAGACAACAUCAGUUUUGGGAAGACCAGUAUUUAAAUUUUUAUCAAGUGACUCCAGAAUUGUGGCUGAGAACCAGUCACACACACACACUCACAUAGAACAUUUGUGUAGCUAGUCCUUAUAGCACUUCUAACAAACACUAGGCACCAUUCUGAGUGCCUUACAAAUAUUAAAUUGUUUAAUCCUUGCAAAAGCCCAAGAUGUAACCUCUAGAAUAGAGGUGAUAUUAUUAUCCUUACGUUGCAGGUGAGGAAACGGAUAGGGAGGCUAAAUAACUUGUGCCCCCUCAGAUGGCUAGUCAGUGCAUGGUUCAGACCCAGAGUCCAUACUCUUAACCGUGCAGAAUCCAUUGAGGGUGUAAAGUUGUUAGGUGGAUCCAAUUAGAUUGAGGAAAUUAGCAGCGAUCCUAGUCGAGGAAUAAAAUUGCAUCUACUCAAACCUGAGUUGAAAGAAGUUAUGAUAAAAAUUAAAGAGAACUUGAAGGACAGCUCAAGGACUUGUGAUAUACUUAGUUGUCAGAUCAUGAUCUCAAACUUUUUUUAUUUUUAAUUUUAUUUUUAAUUUUUUUGUAUUUUUAAUUUUCAUGGCUACAUAGCAGGUGUAUAUAUUUGUGGGGUACAUGAGAUAUUUCGGUACAGGCAUGUAAUGCGUAAUAAUCAUGUCAUGGAAAAUCGGGUAUCCAUCUCCUUAAGCAUUUAUCCUUUGUGUUACAAACAACCCAAUUAUAGUCUUAGGUUUUUUGUUUGUUUGUUUGUUUUUUGAGACGGAGUCUCGCUCUGUUGCCCAGGCUGGAGUGCAGUGGCACAAUCUCAGCUCACUGCAAGCUCCGCUUCCCGGGUUCAAGUCAUUCUCCUGCCUCAGCCUCCCGAGUAGCUGGGACUACAGGCGCUUGCAACCAUGCCCAGCUAAUUUUUUGUAUUUUUAGUAGAGAUGGGUUUUCACUGUGUUAGCCAGGAUGGUCUCGAUCUCCUGACCUCGUGAUCCGCCCACCUCAGCCUCCCAAAGUGCUGGGAUUACAGGCAUGAGCCACCGCGCCCGGCCUCUUUUAGGUAUUUUUAAGUGUACAAUUAAAUUAUUGACUAUAGUCCCAUUGUUGUGCUAUCAAAUACUAGUCUUAGUCAUUCUUUCUAAAUUUCUUGUGUAUGCGUUCACCAUCCCCACCUCCCCCCACCACACCACUCACUACCCUUCCCAGCCUCUGGUAACCAUCUUCUAUUCUCUAUCCCUAUGAGUUCAAUUGUUUUGACUUUUAGAUCUCACAAGUAAGUGAGAACAUGUGAUGUUUGUCUUUCUGUACCUGGCUUAUUUUCACUUAACGUGAUGAUCUCCAGUUCCAUCCAUGCUAUUGCAAAUGACAGAAUCUCAUUCUUUUGAUGGCUGAAUAGCAGUCUAUUGUGUAUAAGUACCACAUUUUCUUUAUCCAUUCAUCUGUUGGUGAUCUCAAACUUAACAUACCAACAUAGAGCUCCUGAUCUUCAGCAACCCCUCCCUAUUAAUCCACUAAACCUUACUGUUUAGUUUUCUCCAUCUGUGUCAAUGGCAACUCCAUCCUUCCAGUUGUUCAGAGCAGAUACCCUGAAGUCACCCUCAAUCCUUCGCUUUUUUUUUUGUUUGUUUUUUUGUUUGUUUGUUUGUUUGUUUUUUUGAGACGUAGUCUCUCUCCAUCACCCAGGCUGGAGUGCAAUGGUGCGAUCUUGGCUCACUGCAACCUCUGCCUCCUGGGUUCAAGUGAUUCUCCUGCCUCAGCCUCCCGAGUAGCUGGGAUUACAGGCGCCCGCCACCUCACCUGGCUAAUUUUUUUGUAUUUUUAGUAGAGAUGGGGUUUCACUGUGUUGGCCAGGCUGGUUUUGAACUCCUGACCUCAAGUGAUCCUCCACCUUGGCCUCCCAAAGUGAUAGGAUUACAGGUGUGAGACACCUUGCCCAGCUGAUGUUUCACUUUCACACCCCAUAUCCAGUCAGACAAAAAAUCUUGUUGGCUCUACCUUUAAAAUUUUAUUAAGAACCUGACUACUCUCCUCCUCUGUUAUAAUAAACCUUGUGCAAGCCACCACUAUCUCUUGUUUGGAUAACUGCAGUAGCCUCUGUGGUGGACACUUCUAAAAUGGCCCCCAGUGAUUUCUGCCUUCUGGUAUUCACACCUUUGCAUAAUCCCUUCCCUUUCAGAAACAGCUGGACUUAGUGACUUUCUUCUAAGGCAUAGACUAUGACAAAAGUUGUGGGAUGUACUUCUGAGAUUAGAGUAUAAAAGACUGUGACACCUCUGUUUGUCUCUCUGUUUUUCUUUCUCUUUCUCUGCCUCCCUCUCUUUUCUGUUUGCUUGCUGUGAUGAAGCAAGCUGCCCUGUUGUGAGCUCUCCGGUGGAGAGCCCCACAUGGCAAGAAAAUGAGAAGCCCCCUGAACAGACAAGAGCUGAGGCCCAGGAUACAAUAUCCUGAAAAAAACUGAAUCCUGCUGACAGUUGCCCAAGUGAAGCUGGAAGUGGAUCUUUCUGCAGUGGAUCCUUGAGAUGACUGUAGCCCUGGCUGACAACUUGAUUGCUGCCUGUGAAGGACCCUGAACCAGAGGACUCAGCGAAAUUGUGCCCAGAUUCCUGACCUACAGAGGCAGUGAGAUAAUAAAUGCUGUUGAGGUCACAAAGUUUUGAGGUAUUUGUUAAUACAGCAAUGGAUACUUAAUACAGCUUCCUACAUGGUCUCCCUCCUUCGACCUUUACACUACAAUCUGUCGUCCACACAGCAGUCAGAGAUCCUUUUAAAACAUAAGUCAGAUCAUCAUGACACUCACCUCCCUGCUAAGUGUCCUGCAAGGCCUUUCACGGUCUGAUCCCCUAUCCUUUCUCUUUCCUCAUCUCCUAUCACUCUUGCCCUUGCAAAUUUUCUUCCAGCACUCUGGCCUCCUUGCUGUUCUUCAGUAUGGCAAGCAACCUGCUGCCCGGAGCCCACACACUGACUGUCCCCUCUCCUAGGACACUCUUCCCUCAAGGGCUCCCAUAUCUUGCCUGCUGGCUCCUGCAUCUUCUUCAAGUCUGCUCAAAUGUCACCUUCUCAGUGAGGCCCAUCCUGGCUAUCCUCUUUCAGUUCUGACAGAAAAUAAUUUAUUGCUUUAUUACAUCAUUAUUUUGUUGUCUUCCCUCCGUCUGUUCCUACUAAAAUUUAAUCUCUGAGAAAGCAGAAAACGUUGUCUUGUUCUUUCCUGUAACCCAAGUGCCUUGAACAUUGCCUCAUUAAUUGCUUGCGCUCAGUAAUAUGUGUUGAAUAAAUGGGUUAAGUAGUUUAUUAAUUGUGAAACUAAAUCCUGUCUGAAAGGUUUGGAGCAGCUUGUUGAAAUAGCAAAUGGAGAUUCUGUGUUUUAAGUUGUGGCUAAGGUAGAAUCAUCCAUGAUGUAUGUGGAGCCAGCUCCUGUGUCCUGGACUUAAACAUCUGUAUCUGACGUGUGGGUAAUUAUAUUGCUAUCCUACACCUUUGACCCAUUCAUCUCGGCUCACCUGUGAUCCAGGCUAUGCUACUAAAGUUGGGUGAGAGAGUCUGCAACACAAGGAAAACAUAGAGCCAUCAUUUAGUAAAUCAAACCCAUAAUAAUACAUUUUGUUGUUAAAUGUAGCCAAUCUCUGAGUAUUUUUUAUUAAAGUAUCUCUAAUGUUUAAAAACAUCUAACACAUUCAUCAUGUUUCAACUGUCCUCAGCCCCUGCUUGGCUUCCCUCCUGUAUGUGUCAGUGCCCAAAGUCCGGAAGGGGCCAAGGUGGCAGGGGUCUGGCGUGUCAGUGCCAACCUCAGUGUGUGCCCACCUGGCUGGGCUGUGACAGUGCCCGGGUUCGGCCCCAACCUUGCUUCAUGAUUGGAGCGGGCACUGGGAGCAGGGAGAGGCCAGGCAGUGGGAGCAGACACUUCGCAGGGGGGCCUUCCUGGGCCCCCAAGAGCACAGAGAUGCCUGGGUUUGCAGCCGGGCCUGGGCAGCUGCAGUGGCACCUGGGGAGGGCAGGGCUUCUGCCUGUUCCAUGGAGUGUACAACCCCAGCCGUGCCUCCCUGCUGCAGCCGAUGUCUUGGCAGUGGCCACUCUAGAUGGGUCACUGCUGCCACCAAUAUGACAUUAAUGAAGUAGACUUAAAGUUUUCAGGGGAUUUAAUUAAUCAUGAUUUUAAGUGGUGCUAAUGUUUCUGGAAAUUUAAUCUCUUAGACUUGACUUAUUUGAACAUUCAUCAUAGAGCAAGCUAAAGUUAUUGUUUCUAAUUUACAUAAAAAUUACUACCUAUAAAACAGAAUAAUAACUUUACAAGUUGAAAUAAAAGGUUUAAGAAAAUCUAGGUUUUUAAACAUAAGACUUUAAAAAUUAAAUAUUAUUUUAAUGGCUAGUAACUGUUGAUAGUCCAUUUGUGCACAACAACCCCCCUUGGGCAUUUGAAAAUAAAAAUCUCUACUGACCAUUUUGAAAGAAUGAGUUUGAGGAUACAUCCACAGGUUGGAGCUUCAGCAUGAGCAGGACAUGGAGAGCCCAGGAAACUUGAGCGAAAUCAUAGGGUCACAUCUGAAGAAGAAGUUGAUUACAUUCAAUUCUGGUCACCUGGCCCAUUAGUGGUGGCAUCAGACCCAGAAGAGGCAUCUGGAGGGGAGUUAGUGUGCAUCAAUUUUAGCAAUGAGUUAUAGAGUCUCUCAAUAACUGUGGCUUAAACAUUUAUUUUCCUCUUUUGUGGGGGUCCUGAGCUGGCCUGGUCCCUCAGCUCAGGGACCCAGCUUACUCUCCCUACAUCCCUAACAUCCAUGAGGUGGCUCUUAUUCUCAUUACUUCAGGCCUACAGAUCCUGCCCUUACACUUUGCAGCAGGAUAAAGGAAAAGGGCAAAAGAUGGGUGUCCACUGUUCUCUCAGGAAGAGUCUUGGUUGCCAUAUCAGGACACUUCUGCUUCCUUUCCGUUGGCCAGAACUCAGCCUCAUUACCAAACCUACAAGCAAUGCUGGGAAAUUGAGUCUCCACUUCUGGUGGCUAUGAGCCUUGCUAAAAAUCAGAUAUUCUAGAACUAUUACUAUGGAAAAAAGCAAAAGUAAAUAUCAGGAAAUGGGUACUUACUACUUACACAUGUUAUGUGGGCAGCAGCAAGCUAUAGGAUGUGAAAUUUUAAAUCUUAAGACUUUAUAUGGAAAUGGCACAGUUGAAAUAGGAUGGAAAUGAUAGUCAUAAGUAGUCACUGAAAUCUAUACAGGAAAACAUAGGCUUGUUCCUGCAAUGUCACAAAACACCAGCUGGGGAUUUUGUUCAAAACCCCAAAAAUGUCAUUUUAGGGCAGAUAAGUGUUCUUUUAGAAACAGCAUUUUAGAAACAAUCAAAAAACCGCCAAACUGAGGAACAAAUUAGCCUAUGAGGAGGUAUACAUGGAAAGUAUAAAUUGGGUCUAAACCUUUUUCUCUCUUUCUGUUUCUUUCUUUGUUUCUUUGUUUGUUCUUUCUUUCUUUCUUUCUUUUCCUUUCUUUCCUUUUCUUUCUUUCUCUUUCUUUCUUUCCUUCCUUCCUUCCUUCCUUCCUUCCUUCCUUCCUUCCUUUCCUUUCCUUUCCUUUCUUUCUUUCUUUCUUCCUUUCUUUUCUUGCGAUUUUCCUGCCUCAGCCUCCCGAGUAGCUGCUAUUACGGGGGCCUGCCACCAUGCCUGGCUAAUUUUUUUUUUUUUUUUUGUAUUUUUUAGUUGAGACAGGGUUUCAGUACGUUGGCCAGGCUGGUCUCGAACUCCUGACCUUGUGAUCCGCCUGCCUCGGCCUCCCAAAGUGCUGGGAUUAGAGACAUGAGCCACCAUGCCCGGCCCUAAAACUUUUUCAUAUGCAUACAUAUUUUUUGAGAUGGAGUCUCACUCUGUCACCCAGGCUGGAGUGCAGUGGCACAGUCUUGGCUCGCUGCAACCUCUGCCUCCUGGGUUCAAGCGAUUCUCCUGCUGGGAUUACAGGCGUGCACCACCAUGCUUGGGUAGUUUUUGCAUUUUUAGUAGAGUCGGGGUUUCACCAUGUUGGCUAGGCUGGUCUCAAACUCCUGACCUCAAGUGAUCUGCCCACCUCAGCCUCCCAAAGUGCUGGGAUUACAGGCAUGAGCCACUGCACCCAGCCAAGUAUCUUUUUUUUUCUUUUUCUCUUCUUUUCUUUUUUUCUGAUGGAGUCUCACUCUGUUGCCCAGGCUGGAGUACAGUGGCUUGAUCUCAGUUCACUGCAACCUCCCCCUCCCAGGUUCAAGCGAUGCCCCUGCCUCAGCCUCCCAAGUAACUGGGAUUACAGGAAGCCACCACCACCCCAGCUAAUUUUUGGAUUUUUAGUAGAGUCUGGGUUUUGCCAUGUUGGCCAGGCUGAUCUUGAGCUCCUGACCUCAGGUGAUCUGCCCGUCUUGACCUCCCAAAGUGCUGGGAUUACAGGCGUGAGCCACCGUGCUCCGCCUAAAGCUUUUUCAUAAUUUAAUCAAUGGCAUAUUCCUAGGAGAAACCAUAAAACGUUAAAAUAAACUGCUUUGCUUACACAGAAAACAGCCUUCUUGUAUAAAAUCCUGGGCUGGAAGUUCUUGUCAACAGGUUACCCUUCUAUUUUUUAUUUUUUAUUUUUUUUUGAGACAGAGGCUCACUCUGUCACCAGGCUGGAGUGCAGUGGCAUGAUCUCAGCUCACUGCAACCUCCACCUCCCAGGCUCAAGGUAUCCUCCCACCUCAGCCUCACAAGUAGCUGGGACUACAGGUACAGCCACCAUGCCUGGCUAAUUUUUUUGGGGGUAUUUUUUUGUAGAGACGAGGUCUUGCCAUGUUGCCUAGGCUGGUUUCAAAUUCCUGGGCUCAAGCAAUCUGCCUGCCUAAGCCUCCCAAAGUGCUAAGAUUACAGGCAUGAACCACUUCGUAACCACCAUCCAGACCAAAAUACAGAACAUUUCUGUGGCCGAAUUAAGUUCCCUCUUUCUUCUUAACUUCAUUUCCUGGAGUCUACCACUAUUGUGCCUCUAUAUCACCAUAGAUUCCUCUUGUUUAUUCUUGGCCUUCAUAUAAAUUGUAUCAUACAGUAUGUAUUCUUUUGGGUCUGAUUUUUUCAGCUCAACAUUAUGUCUGUGAGAGUCAUCCAUGUUAUUCUAGGUAUUAGGAGUUCAAUCCUUUUUAUUGCUCAGUAGUAUUCCAUUGCAUGAGUGUAACACAAUUUUUUUUUUUUUGAGAUGGGUUCUCACUCUGUCCUCCAGGCUGGAGUGCAGUGGUGCAAUCAUGGAUCACUACAGCCUCGACCUCCUGGGCUCCAAGUAACCCUCCUGCCUCAGCCUUCCAAGGAGCUGGGACUACAGGCACACAUCACCACACCUGGCCAUUUUUUUUUUUUUUUUUGGUAGAGCGGGGGUCUCACUAGGUUGCCUCCCCAAGUGCUGGGAUUACAGAUAUGAGCCACCACGCAUGGCCCAGAUGUAAAGUUCUAUCAACUUCAUCAUCAUCUUUUUUUUUUAAUUAUACUUUAAGUUCUAGGGUACAUGUGCACAACGUGUAGGUUUAUUACAUAUGUAUACAUGUGCCAUGUUGGUGUGCUACACCCAUUAACUCGUCAUUUACAUUAGGUAUAUCUCCUAAUGCUAUCCCUCCCCACUCCCCCCACCCCACAACAGGCCCCGGUGUGUGAUGUUCCCCUUCCUGUGUCCAAGUGUUCUCAUUGUUCAAUUCCCACCUAUGAGUGAGAACACGCGGUGUCUGGUUUUCUGUCCUUGCGAUAGUUUGCUGAGAAUGAUGGUUUCCAGCUUCAUCCAUAUCCCUACAAAGGACAUGAACUCAUCCUUUUUAUGGCUGCAUAGUAUUCCAUAGUGUAUAUGUGCCACAUUUUCUUAAUCCAGUCCAUCAUUGAUGGACAUUUGGGUUGGUUCCAAGUCUUUGGCUAUUGUGAAUAGUGCCACAAUAAACAUACGUGUGCAUGUGUUUUUAUAGCAGCAUGAUUUAUAAUCCUUUGGGUAUAUACCCAGUAAUGGGAUGGCUGGGUUAAAUGGUAUUUCUAGUUCUAGAUCCUUGAGGAAUUGCCACACUGUCUUCCACAAUGGUUGAACUAGUUUGCAGUCCCACCAACAGUGUAAAAGUGUUCCUAUUUCUCCACAUCCUCUCCAGCACCUGUUGUUUCCUGACUUUUUAAUGAUCGCCAUUGUAACUGGUGUGAAAUAGUAUCUCAUUGUGGUUUUGAUUUGCAUUUGUCUGAUGGCCAGUGAUGAUGAGCAUUUUUUCAUGUGUCUAUUGGCUAUUUCCUUUAGAGGCUACUGAGUCACUUCAUUCUGGCUGGUCCCCUCUACACCUUCAUCACCAUCCUGGAGAUUUCCUUCCCAUUUUCUCCCAUAUUGGAUCUCCUUUUUUUCUGGAGUCGAUGCCUUUUGUUUCCUUGGUUUAGUCUCUUCUUUUGGUGGAACACACCUUCCAGUUAGCUCCCUGUAAAAGGAAGCUGUCAGAAAAUGUCUCUCUUCUAUUCUCAUACCUAAUUGAUCAUUUUUGGCUGGAUACAGAACUCUAGCUCAAACAUGAUUUUCCCUCAGAAUUUUGAAGGCAUUACUCCAUUGGCUUCUUGCUUCCAGAGUUAUUGUUGAGAAAACUAAAUCCAUUCUCAUCUUGAUCAUUUGUAUGUGGCCUGUUUUUUUUUUCUCCCUCUCUGAAAGUUUAUAAGGGGUAUUCUUUUUCUUUUUAAUGUUCUGAACUUUUAUAGCAUUGUACAUUGGUGUAAAGUAAUUUUUAUUUAUUGGGCUGGGCCCUUUCAAUCAUGUCCAUAUCCUUCUGGUCAGGGUAAAAUUUUCCAUGUAUUUCAUGGGUGAUUCUUCUUUUUGAAACUUGUGUUAUUCAGAUGGGGGUUUUGGUGGGCUAGUCUUAGAAUUUUGUCUUCUUACUCUUUUUCCCAUUUCUUUGUGUUUUUUCUUUCCUUUCUGAGGGUUUGCCUCAAUGCUAUCUUUCAACCCUUCUAGCGAGUUCUUAAUGUCUGCUAUCAUGUUUUAAAUUUCCAAGAACUGUUUCUUUGUUCUGAAUAUCUCAUCUUUCCUUUAAAAAAAAUUGUUUCUGAGCUAGAUGUGGUGGGGUGUGCCUGUAGUUCCAGCUACUUGGGAGGCUGAAGUGGGAGGCUUGGGCCCAGGUUUUCAAGGCCAGCAUGAGCAACAUAGCAAGAUCCUGUCUUAAAAAAAAAAAAAAAGAAAAAGAAAAAAAUUGUUUCUAUUUCAUUGAUGCAGUGUCCCUUAUUUUUCUUAUAAUAUUAAUGAGUUUCUUUUUUUUGUUUAAAAUAUUUUUUUCCUUGCAUAGUUUCUGUUUCUGCCAAUUCAUUUUUUCUUUUAGUUUGUUAGGCUCUUUAUCCAUAUAAUCUAGCUAAUGGGUUUUGGCAGGCUAAUGAAUAUAUAAAUUUGGAGUCAAGGGAAGAGGUUGGAGAAUAAAAAUUUUAUCCAACUCAGAGAGCUGUUAUAAAAAUUAAGUGAUGUAAUGCAUAUAAUUUGCUUAGCACAGGUCUGGAAUAUAGUAAGCAUUCAAAUGUUAGAUGUUAUUUUUUAUUUUAUUAUUUAAUGGCUGCAUCAUACUCUUUUAGCAUAGCAUAUAGAUGAACAUAAUUCACCUCGCCAUUCCUCUACUGCUAUUGAAGAUCGGGCUUACUUUUUCACUUUUUACUAUUAUAUAAAUAGGGAUUGGUAUUUUUCUGAAAGCAGCUUUAGUCACAUAUUUUUAAACUUUCAUUAUGUAAUAUAUAUUUUUUUGAGACAGGAUUUUGAUCUGUUACCCAGGCUGGAGCACAGUGGCACGAUCAUAGCUUACUGCAGCCUUGACUUCCCAGGCUCAAUCUGUUCUCCUUCCUCAGCCUUCUGGUUAAGCUGGGACUACAGGCACGUGACCCACACCCAACUAAUUAAUUUUUUUUUUUUUUUUUUUUUUUUUUUUGUAGAGGUAGGGUUUCUUUAUGUUGCCUAGGCUGGUCUCAAACUCCUGAGCUCAAGCAAUUCUCCUGUCUUGGCCUUCCAAAGUACUGGUAUUACAGGUGUGAGUUACCGUGCCCAGACUCAUUAUGGAAUUUUCAAUCAUGUACAAAAGUAAAGAAAAUGGUAUAAUAAACUCCUGCAUACCCAUUAUUUAGUUUCAACAAUAGCCAUUUUUGGUCAAGUAUCCAAAGAUGUUCAUGUUUAAUGGGCCAUCUUGUUUUAUCUAUAGUAUAUGGAUUCUAUACCAGUGCUGUCUAAUAAAAAUAUAAUGUAAACUACAAAGGAAAACCAUGUUUGUAAUUUAAAACCUAACUUAAUGUAACCUAAAAUGUUCUAGUAGCUACAUUUGAAAAAUAUGAAAGAAAGAAGUGAAAUUUAUUUAUUUAUUUAUUUAAGACAGGGUCUUACUCUAUUGCCCAGGCUGGAGUGUAGUGGUGCAAUCAUAGUUUGUUGAAGCAUCAAAUUCCUGGACUCAACCGAUCUUCCAGCCUCAGCCUCAUGAGUAGCUAGGACUAUAGGCAUGUGCCAACAGGCCUGCUAAUUUUUAAAGUUUUUGUACAGACAGAGUCUCCCUGUGUUGCCCAAGCUGGUCUGGAACUCCUGGCCUUAAGUGAUCCUCCCAUCUCACCUCAGCCUCCCAAAGUGCUGAGAUUAUAAGUGUGAGCCAUUGUGCCUGGCCUGUGAAAUUAAUUUUAAUAAUACAUUUUAUUUUACUCAAUGUAUCCAAAAUAUUGUUUUAAUAUAUAACCAGUUUCCAAGUUAUUAAUGACAUAUUUUAAUUUUUUUGGUACUAAGUCUUCAAAAUCUAGUGUGUACUUUACAUUCAUUGCAUAUCUCAACUGGACUAGCUCAAUAGCCAUAUGUGCCUAGUGGCUCCCCUAUGAGAAAAUGUGAAUAUGCUCACCAAACAGGAUUAAUGUGAAGCAGAUCCCAGACAUUAUAUCAGUGUAUCCAUAAAUAUUUCAAUAUGUAUCUGUAAUAACAAUGUCCGUAUUUUUAAAAAAGGUUUCCUUAGAAUUAAUUUUUAGAAAUACGGUUGUUGGAUUGAGGAAUGUGCACUUUUAAAAUCUUGCAGCAUAUUAUAGCUACUUUUUCGGAACGUUAGAUUAAUUUACACUCCUUUCUGGAGUGUGUGAUGGAGCCCAUGUCACCCUCAUAGAGUGUAUUUGGAUCCCUGACCAUGGUUCUGAAAUCUACAGAAAGGCAGUAAGACUUCCUCUCUGUUGUGAGAGGUCAAAUUUUGUUUUGUUUUGUUUUAAUGGCUUAAAACAAGUUUUAUUCUCUUACAGUUCUAAAGGUCAGAAGUCUGAAUUCAGUUUUACUGGGCUAAAGUCAACGUUUUGGCUUUUAGAGGUUCCUUUUGGAGACUCUGAGGGGAUAAUUUGUUUCCUUGCUUUUUCAGCUUCUCAUGGCCACCUAUGUUCCUUGACUUGCCCCUUCCUCCAUCUUUCAAGUGCAUCAUCCCAAUCUUUACUUGUAUUCAUCACACCGCCUUUUCAUCUGUGAGAAGUCAAGUUCUAGUGAUGAUUCAGAGGUGACUUUUAAGCAGAUAAGAGCAAAGGGACACAAGCAGGAACCUGCCAGACAUAGUGGUGUGUACAUGUAGUCCCAGCUACUUGGGAGGCUGAGAAGGAAGGAUUGCAUGAGCCCAGGGGUUCAAGUCCAGCCUCAGCAACAUAGACCCCAUCUCUAAAAUAAAUGAAUAAAUAAAUAAAUAAAAUAAAAUAAAAUAAAAACAUGGGCUUCUUGGAACUCUACUUUUAUUUAGAAAAGAAGAAAGCAGAUGACAGAAGAUAGAGGGAGGUAACAAUAACAAGAGAGACAGACUUCUGGGUAAAAAUGGCUGAUAAAACACAAACUGAUAUCUAAGUGCAUAUCUUCCUGAUGCCUGACUAGAACAACAGUGGGGGCUGUCCUUAAAUACUUGCCUUGUUUUCUUUCUUUCUUUUCUUUUCUUUUCUUUUCUUUCUUUUUCUUUUUCUUUUCUUUUCUUUUUUUUUUGAGAUGGAGUCUCCCUCUGUUGCCCAGGCUCGAGUGCAGUGGCACAAUCUCGGCUCACUGCAACCUCCGCCUCCUGGAUUCAAGCGAUUCUCCUGCCUCAGCCUUCCGAGAAGUUGGGAUUAUAGGCACCUGCCAUCCUGCCCAGCUAAUUAUUGUAUUUUUAGUAGAGAUGAAAUUUCACCAUGUUGGUCAGGCUGGUCUCGAACUGCUGAGCUCAGGUGAUCCACCCGCCUUGGCCUCCCAAAAUGCUGGGAUUACAGGCAUGAGCGAGCCACCACUCCUGGCACCUCGUUUGUUUUCUGUUUAAGGUGAGGGGAUAAAAAGCUGAUUGGAAGUUUUGAGUUAUUGAUUCAAGCUUCACUGUAGGAUAAUCUGACUAGCAAACUGCAAAUGCCAGCACAUUUGUGUCCUUUCUCCUGGACUUCUUGGAUUCCUCACAAAAGAAUCUUCCAAAGUCCUGACUAGAGGGUAGAGUUAACCUAGAACCUGGGAGUUGAUGGGGUUAGAGGCUUGGAGUCUAAACACUGAAUAUGCCUUGGUUUCCUUAAUCUUGUUGUUUUGGUAUGACACCUCCACCUGUAACUGUGCCUUGUGCCUUCCAGUUCCUGUGCUUGGGUUAGGAAGAGGCAGUCACUCAUCAGCAAAGAGUAGAAGGUAUCUAGGAACCACUAUUCUUUUUUUUUUUUUCUUUUCGAGAAGGAGUCUUGCUCUGUCGCCCAGGCUGGAGUGCAGUGGUGCAAUCUCGGUUCACUGCAACCUCUGCCUCCCGCGUUCAAGCGAUUCUCCUGCCUCAGCUGCCUCAGUCUCCUUAGUAUCUGGGAUGACAGGUGCUCUACCACACCUGGCUAAUUUUUGUAUUUUUAGUAGAGACAGAGUUUCACCAUGUUGGCCAGGCUGGUCUUGAACUCCUGACCUCAUGAUCCACCCGCCUCAGCCUCCCAAAGUGCUGGGAUUACAGGCAUGAGCCACUGCACCUGGCCAGAAUCACUAUUCUUAAACAGCUUUAAUUAUCUUUAUUUUGUGCUUGCCAACCCAACUUGCAGCUGUACUUGAUGCCACAGAUUCCUGAGCUUUUUGAGAACACUGCUGUUUACAUUGGUUGAUUUUUUAUUUUCUCAUUGUUUUAGGAUUGUGCUUUCUUGGGUCUGCUAAGUCAGUUACCCCUGGUCCACCAUGCCAAAAUGUUUUUGUUGUUUUCUUUUCUUCUUUUCUCUCCAUGCUUAUGGAUAUGUGCUGGUAUAAACAGUUUUUGUUUUUUUAAGAAAAUAGUCUGGAUCUUAACCUUCCUCUUACUAAACCCUCUCUCCCUGCUAUAUUCACAUGUCAUUUAAUAGCAACUCUAUCCUUUCAGUCACUCAGGCAAAAAUAUUGGAAUAACUUUUAACCCCUCUUUUUCUCUCUCACUCCAUGUACAUUCAUCAGCAAACACUGUGGGCUCUACUUUCACAUAUAUCCGGGGUCUGACCAUUGCUCACAGCCUCUACUGCUACCAACCUGAUCCAAGCCAUCAGCAUUUCUCAUCUGGAUUAUUAAAAUCACCCACCAACUGGUUUUCCUGUUUCUGCUCUUGUCUCCUUUGUUUUUUAUCACUGUAACUAGAAACAGAAGCCAGAUACCCCUCCUUUGUUCAGAACUCUAAAUGGGGCCCCCUUGCACCAUCUACUCCGUCUUAACUCCCUUACCCUAUCUCCUCCAUCUUCCAGUCAUUUAUUCUGCUCCAAUCACAAUGGCCUUUGUAUUUGUGGUCUCUUUUGCUUAGAAUGCUCUUCCUCCAGAUAUUCAAAUGGCCGACUCCUUCACAUUUUCCAAGUGUUCGUUCAGACGUCACCUUAUCUGAAAAGACUUUUCUGACCUAAUGGCGUCCCCAUCUCAUGCUCCUGGCACUUUCCUUUCCCCUUACUUUUCUUUAUAUUUCUCCAGAUCACUUAUAAUCCCCUGUACAGUGUGUAUUUAGUUGGUUAGUGUCUGUCUCCCCCACUAGAACGUUGGCUCCCUGAAGGCAAGGACUUUGUCUACAUUGUUAAUUGGUGGAGUUAUGCCACCUACACAGGAUCUUACUCAGAGGAUGAAUUCAAUCAAUAUUAGUUGAAUGAACAAAUGAACAAGCAGUUGAAUUGAAUGGCUGUAUUAAAGGAAACUGAGGCAUAGAAAACUUAAGAUUUUUAGACAAAGAUCACACAACAAUGAACAGCAGAACUAGGAUGUGUGAACCAGGUUUUUGUGAUGUGAAAGCCUGAGUUCUUAAUCAUUUUGUUUGAUAUUUGGGAAUAAUUUUUAAUGAGAUCUGAAAAUGCUAAUGGUAUAAUGCUGUGAACGAAGGAAAUAUAAAAUUGUAAUUCCAGCAUGAUCUUAACUAUGUACAAAUAU